AUAAAUAAAUAAAUCUUUAAAAAAAAAAAGAAAAAACAAAAACAGAGAUACAAGAAGGUCAGGUGACUUGAGUAAAGUCUCACCAUAGUUGGUACUUUCCAAAAAACAGUUUAUUUAUUUUUAUUUUUAUGUGUCUGAGUGGUUUUCCUGCAUGUACGUCUAUGCACCACACGCAUGCCUGGAGCCUACAGAUGGCAGAAGAUGCCAUCAAAUCUCUUGGAGGCAGAGCACUGAAUGGCUGUAAGACCACAUGUGAGUGUUUGGAACCGAACCCUGGUCUCCUGCAAGAACAACGAAUACUCUUAACCCCUGAGCCCUCCUUCCAGCUCUCACUUUGUGCUCUCGUGCCUUGUGGAGCCACCAGUCCUUCCAAGUUGGUCAGGUGAUGUCUGCUGAGCACCUGUUGCAGGUACCAUGUGAAACAGUGGAGAAAGGUGUAGCGCAGAAUAAGGGCAAAGUAAAUGUACAAAUGCAAGAGUCAAUCUGAGGGCAGCAUAGCGGCUCUGUCCAUUCAUGGGACUCCCCGUCUCCUGAAUCUCAUUGCCCACGCCCCUCUCCAGUCCACUCGAUGACACCAAGCAGGUGCUAGAUCAGAGUGUUCUAAGAUGCAGAUCUACUGUAAAAGGGGCCAAAAGUCAAAGGCCCCUGGAGGAGACGAAGAGGGGCAGAUGGACAAUGGGUGAACUGGAAAUAUGACAGCAACCAUCUUGUACUUUUACCCAAAGAGAAAAUCAAAUCUGAUGGCUCUCCAUCAGCAAAUGGCAGCAGAAGGCAGAUGCAUAAUUUCACGAGAACAUUCCUUUCCUCUGCUUAUUAGAUUAGCCGACCUAACAAGGCACUCUCUUCCUCUCAACACCAGACAACGAGAUGCAUCUCAACCGUGCCAGGAGUGGAUGCUGCUGGUUUCCAUUUGCUUUGGUGUCAUUAGCGAUACCUAAAUAGCUCACACUUAGCCAAUAAUUAUUGUGCUGGACCCUGGAGGGAAAGCAGAGCUUGAGCCUCCCCGCCUGGGGAAGAGAGAUUCAGAGUGAUCACAGCUGUAUGAGACACACCUAGAGCUCUGCCUGGAGCCAGGGAAACCAUUUCCAAGCCUGCAGCUAGCCCAGGACGUGGUACCCAGAAGGAUUUGGAAAGGUGAGGAGAAGAAACCAGCUACCUUUGAACAAAUGUAGAGAAGAGCAGACACUGAGGACCCUCCAGCUGGGAGUGGCCACACAGUGAGAGGCGCAGAAUACGGGGGCUGCAGGCUGGGGUUCUGGGCUUGGUGAGUGUGGUGGUACAUGUAGCUCCUACAUAGAUGUGUGCAUGUGUGCAUGCAUGUGUGUGCGUGUUUGCUGCUGAGAUAGGUAGCUGGGAAUGGAUUUUGCAGGCUGUUACAUGUCACUCUAUUUGUUCUCUAUAACACGUAUGACACAUGGUGGUGCCAUGAGCGGACAGUAGCAUUGGAACAUUCCUCCACUCUGAUGGCAACCUGGAAAGGACUUUGAGGGGAAGGAAGGAAACGGGAAGACUACAGAGGAGGCCAGUGUGAGUGUACAAAGGGGAACUCUAUAAUAUCCAGGAGUCACACCCAGGAGGGGCCCUGUGCAAUCCCAGAUGCUGACAAUGGAGCGGGUGGGAGGAGGCCACCUGGGAUGGGACAGAGAUUGGUGAGUUCAGUUCAUUCACACUGAGUAUGUGACUUGGAAGGACUUUUUCUUGGCUGUGCGUUUAGCAGCUGACUAUGUGUGUGGCUUGUGGGAUUGCUUGGAGCAGAGACACCAGGCAGUGUGGUGGGGGAGCAGCAGAACUCCACCCUUUCCAUUUGAACACUGUACUUUCUGAUUCCAAAAUCUUUGGACACACAUGGCUGAAAGUGGUCAUUUAGACUUUUCGGUAAAAUGUUAUGAUGUAGGUAAAGUUCUUAUAAAAUAUGCAUUUCUGAAAAUGCUUGGAUAUUGAAUCAAAACACAGACAACCUCCAAAUGGAUUUUUUGGGAUCAAUAUUGAAAUCACACCUCUCUGCGUUUGCCAUUAUGUAAUCUAGUUAUAUAGUUUGAAUGAGAUGAAUUCCAUUAACGUGACCCAUGCUAGGCUUACUCAUUUUGGUCUCCGAGAGCCCCUCUCCUGUCCCCGCCUCAAGUGAACUUUUCUCUCGGGCUCUGCCAGGAUUUGACUUCAGGACUUUUCCUUGUCCAUGUUUCUUUCUUGUUUGCUUGUUUCUCCCACAGUGAGCUGGGACACGGGGCAGAAGCCACAUCCCAGACUAGCCCGGUGCCUGGAACACGGUGAGGAUAGAACACAACCUAUAGACACUGUUAUGGAAGAGCUACUUGAUUCAAACUGAUUAGACCAAUGAAUGUCAGUGCCAUAGAGAAGAAUGAUCAUUAACUUCUCACCAGUGCAGACCACAGGUACAUGCCACCAUGCUUGGCUUAAGUAGUGCUGGGGGAUCGAACCCAAGGCCUCACAUAUUCUAGGUAAGUUCUCUACCUGCUUAGCUGUGUCCCCUCCCUCACAUGUUCAAAUCUCGUGUUUGUAACACCCUUGGCAGAUACUUUUUUUUUUUUGAGAUCAGAAGCCAUGCAGAAUAGUUAACAGCUUGCUCAGGGUCACACAGCUGGCACCCUGUAGGCAGUUGGAUUUCAAAGUCCCUUUUGUUUUGUUGCUAUGCAAAUUACUGCCUUACAAUGGCCUCUCUGCCCAUCUCCCUGUAAAUGAACAACUUCCACUUAAUAUGGUGAGAUUGCCUUUGAAAGCAAUUAGGGAAGAUUUCUAGUUUGUGUUGACUUCUUACUGCAGGUUGAAGUUGAAAGGCACAGGAGGAACGUGUGAGUCUGAAGGACACUCAUUCAGGUGUGGUCAUUUGUGGCAGGACAGAAAGAGCUGACACCACUCAUCGUAGAAUGGGCCACUAUAGAAUCUUAUGAGGUAACUCUGGCUGGCAUGGGGCUCAAACACCUUCUAAUCCUUGGAUACAUAGUCUUGAACUCCAGAAUGAGUGCGUCUGGUAUACGUGUUCCUUCCACAUACCAACUACCCUUGGAGAGAACUCAGGUCUGCCGAUUGGGUAAGCAUUUUCCCAGUAAUCUGGAUGCAGUUCAGCCCUGCUCUCCUCACCGGCACUGCAUGAAGAGGAGCUUUUAUUAAUUGGUGCUCGGGGCUGAGGGGGAGUUUCUUGGCCUAGGCGGAAGCCAGCCAGCCAGCUCCCAGGCAGACAUGCAGGCUGGCCAGCUGGGCUCUCUUAGACACUGACCUACAUUGAACCAAGCUCACAGAAUGUGUGUUAGAUCAAAUUUGUUCCUUUCUGCUUGCUCAAAGUGAGUUCUGCUCUGCAAAUUUCCAUGCUAUUGCUGCCAGAGAGUGAUACAAGACAGAAAAAGACCCCCUCCGUCCUAGAGAUUUCUAAACCAGCCCACAGGACUGCUCAUGGGCUCUUGCAGGGGCCACCAAGAAAUGGCCCUGCAGUUUGAAUAGACGGUUUCCUCUCUUCCUAAGACGGGGCCCCUGUGAAUCAGAGUGUACAGAGCUGUCGUCAGUGGGGCACACAUGCUUUCCUGCUCAGUUGAAUUGGGACAUCCUAGGAAAACCGGGGUGUCUGCCAGCAGCCAGCAUGCACCGCUGCCUGCAAGAGAACUUACAAAAGGGAAGUCCGUGUCUCCAGGACAACGAAAGGAUAUAAAAUAUAAAACCGUAGAACAGAACAAUAAAUCCCACCUGAGUUCUGCUUGCUGGAUUCUAUCUUCACGGGGCGGGCUGUUCUGUCUUCCUUGCUUUAAAAGAAGCUACAGGAAGUACUUGUAAUCCUCAAGGCCGGUGUAUCCUCCUCUCUGUAAUUGACCUCCAAGGACUGGGCUGAUCUCUUAGUUUCUUCUCUUGUCUGUCUUGAACAGAGCUUUGCAUUUAGGUCUCACGUGGCCCAGAGCCCAGGACACAAACCAUCAAAAGCCAGUCUAGUACCAAUGGGCCAUGGUUGGCUCUCUCUCCAGAAUAAAGGCCCCAUGAUCAAUUAUUCCCACAGUGGGGCCUUUGACUUGCCUCCUUCUGUUAGAUAGGCUCUCGGGAGCAGUCUCCCCAGUGUCUCCAUUUCUCCUUCAUUUCCGGUUAUGUAGGUUACACGGGAAUGUAGCUAAUCCUAACAGCGAAUUUUCUACAAGAACGUAAGGAGUGCAGUCAGAACAGUGAAUGGAAUGGUACAUGUUCCUCUUGUUAUGUAUAGGAGAGGGCAAUAUGAACGACAGUGUGAGUCAGAAAUUGAAAUCUGCAGUAACAUGGCCUCAAACUGUAAAAUUAGUUAAAAGCUGUAGAAGGGUGGAGAGUUGGCCCACAUUUGAUUCGCACAGUAGUUUCUUCUAUUUGUGAUGUCUCUGGAGUCAUGUGCUGUGCUAACAUUCUAAUGCUGAAAGCGCCUUUACAAAAGGCUGGCAACUGAGGUGGUGACAGAGCAUGUCACCAGGUACAGGACUAGAAUGUUCUCUCUCUCUCUCUCUCUCUCUCUC
rnacentral:sRNA from 1 species